rnacentral:rRNA from 1 species
UAGUAAUGGCAGGUCAGCAUACUGCCGUGAAUACGUUCCCGGGCCUUGUACACACCGCCCGUCACACCAUGAGAGUUGGGAAUACCCGAAGCCUGUGAGCUAAACAUUUAUGAGGCAGCAGUCGAAGGUAGAAUCAAUGAUUGGGGUGAAGUCGUAACAAGGUACC